GUAAAAACUGUGAAGAGGAGUAGUAAGGGUUCCCCCCUGCCUUAGAGAGCCGGCGGAUGCUGCGAGCCGGCGCAGGGCGCCCUGAACUCGCCUCGGAGUCGCGAAGGUGAACCUGUUGAUCAGGACAGCCGUAGUCUUCGCCGGCUGGCGGCCGUCAUCCUGCCGGAAAUAAGGGUGACCGGGGUCGGGUCCCUGGCUCACUGAAACAGGGUGGUACCACGUGGGAAAUUUUCAGCCCUCGUCCCUGGC
rnacentral:ncRNA from 1 species